rnacentral:sRNA from 1 species
GGGGACGCGGGCGGCAGAAAGUGGAGCUGGGCUGGUGUGCGCGCGCGGCCGGAGUCUGUGGAGCUGGAAAUUCACCGGUCCAGGAAGACGUCUUUCCCGCGUCCCAGCACCUCGGGCCACGCUCCUUCGUGAGAGCGCCCUCUCCAAGGAGGCCAGCCCUGGAUAUUUCACCCAAAAUAUUUAUUUUUUCUUUUUUUCUAGGCUCCUGUUUUCCUAAUAGCAUGAACAGACCCCCCGUCAGCUCCUACCCCUUGGUCUCUGACCUGUUCCUCCUCCGAGGUGACCUCUAUCCUGAAUUUUGAAAACAUAUUAGUAUUGCCUAUUUCUGGACUUUAUGCAGAUGAAGUCAUUGGUUCUCCCUCUGUCACCCAGAGCUGGAGUGCGGUGGCAUAAUCACAGCUAAUUGCAGCCUCAACAUUCCAGGCCCAAGGAUCCUCCCUUCAGCCUUCCAGGUAGCUGGGACCACAGGCAUGUACCACCACACCCAGCUAAUUUUUUAAAUUUUUGUAGAAAUAGGGAUCUCACUAUGUUGCCCAGGCUGGUCUCAAACUCCUGGGCUCAAGUGAUCCUCCUACCUUGGCCUCCCAAAGUGCUGGAAUUACAGGCAUGAACCACUAUGUCUGGCCAAAUUUACCCUUUACAAAGUAUAUAAUUCAGUGGUUUUUAGUAUACUCAUAGAGUUAUGAAGCAUCACUAUCUAAUUUUAUUUAAUUUUUAAUUUUUUAAUUUUUUGAGAUGGAGUGUCGCUCUCUCGCCCAGGCUGGAGUGCAGUGGCGCUAUCUCGGCUCACUGCAACCUCUGCUUCCCAGGUUCAAGUGAUUAUCCUGCCUCAGCCUCCCAAGUUGCUGGGAUUAGAGGCGUGUGCCACCAUGCCUGGCUAAUUUACUAAACUAAUAAAUUACUAAAUUAGUAAGUUACUAGUAAAUUAGUAAUUACUAAAAUAUAAUUUUUAGUAGAGAUGGGGUUUCAUCAUGUUGGCCAGGCUGGUCAUGAACUCCUGACCUCAAUGGAUCCUCCUGCCUCAGCUUCCUGAGUAGCUGGGACCACAGGUGCACACCACCAUGCCCAGGUAAUUAAUUUUUAUUUUUUGUAGAGUCGGGGUCUCCCUAUGUUUCCCAGGCUGGCCUCGAACUCCUGACCUCAAGUGAUCCUCCCACCUCAGCCUCCCAGAGUGCUGGGAUUAAAGACGUGAGCCACGGCACCUGGCCUGAAUUUUCCUCAAAUUCAAAAAAUGCUGAUGAAGGUUUGGCUAAAAUCUUUGGUGAGUUACCCCA